GUCGCAUUUCAGUAGGAAGGUCACUUGGUGAGCUUGCAAUGGUUAAAGCUCUAACAUCAAAACUGUCUGAAGUCUCCUGCUUGGUACUGGGGUGUGGCUGUAAAUUACCCUCCCCAGUUCAGCUUGGCAACAUAAAACGGAAUUGCUGUCAUUAAGAAGAGAAAGUGGAGAGACCCUUUCAAACUGUAAAUGGAAAUUAAUCAUGGACAAAGAAGAUGGCUUUAAAGAUAACAGCUUCAUGCAUGUCUGGAGGGGGUUGAUUGGAACUACUAGAUUCUGGCUAUACACUGAAAAGACAUGGUUUAACAACAGGAAAUUAUUGCAUAUGUUUCAAAGGAGUUCCUCUUUGUAUCUAAACACGCAGAAUACAAGCAACUUAAUGACAAUCAGUAGCUGCUCGAUGUUACAUUUUUAACCAAUCUUACAAACAUGAUGAAUGAGCUUAAUUUAGAGCUGCAAAGAAAAGCUCAGAUGGUGCUCAACACAAUCAGUUAAAUGAAACUUUAGCUGCAAAGACACGAUCUCGAAACCUUCACUGGUUUCAUGUAACAAGGUAAAGACAUCUGGGGGAAAUAGUUUGCGUAACUUGACAGACGUCUAGAGCAGACUGAAAAGUUGAGUCAAAUUUGGACAAUCUCUACUUUGCUAAAUUCAAUUGGUGCAUUCAUUACCAAUUCAGUUGGGGAAAAAAAAGAUGCUCAAUUAAUUUGUUGUGCAUCAAAAAUCGCAACACUGUUUCAUCUGCAGUGGAGGAUGAGAUUUUUUAUCACAGACAGCUGAAGUACAAGGCUCUGUUGACACUUUUUAGAACUUGCUGUUCAGAAAUAACCAAAUAUGAUAAUAUAUAAUUUAAUUCCUCCUUGACUGCGUUAUUCUGACUGACACCAUUCUGUGUAAUUCAUAAUAUGAAAGUCAUAAUUGAAAUGGUCAAUUUAGAAUCUAGCUCACAGCCCAAAGUAGUGUGGCUACACCUUAGUCAAAAGUGUUUAAGCUAAAAAGUGUGUACGUUGCAACUGAUGGAUGCAGUUUCAUUGGUUAAAUGACUGAUGCUGUGUUUUGUAAAGUCAAACACUAUUAUAUGUAUAUGUCAUGUACAUACAUUUUUUUUUUCCUCUUUCAUAUUGAACUACACCUGUAAGCUAAUCAGUCAAAAUAGCUUCACAAAAAUGUUACUAAAGCAAAUCUCAACCAUGUUGUUUUGUAGUAAUGUCUAAUUUAAACCUGAUGAAAUCUGGACAACAGAUUGCAUCAAGUGACAUACGUUUUGUCAUCUGUAUGCACACGCCGUGUCCCCUAUUGGUCCCAAUAGACAUGUUGAUUGUGUAUGCCAGCAGAGAAAAUAAUAACCUCAGUGAGAGAGGGGUGCCAAACAAGUAUCGUAUUUAAAAAAAAAAAGAAGGGUCAGAACAUGAGUAGAGGAAGAAAAACAACAACACAGCAUGUUUUAAAGAAAUGCCGUGAGGAGAGAUCUGCUAUUUUCCCAGUGUGAAUUAAAAUGCAUCCGGAAGCUAU